ACUCCUACGGGAGGCAGCAGUGGGGAAUAUUGCACAAUGGGGGAAACCCUGAUGCAGCCAUGCCGCGUGUGUGAAGAAGGCCUUCGGGUUGUAAAGCACUUUCAGUAGGGAGGAAGGUAGUGUAGUUAACACCUGCAUUAUUUGUACGUUACCUACAGAAGAAGCACCGGCUAACUCCGUGCCAGCAGCCGCGGUAAGUACGGAGGGUGCGAGCGUUAAUCGGAAUUACGUGGGCGUAAAGCGCAUGCAGGCGGCCUGUUAAGUCAGAUGUGAAAGCCCGGGGUCUUAACCGUCGGAAUUGCAUUUGAAACUGGCAGGCUAGAGUCUUGGUAGAGGGGUUAGAAUUUCAGGUGUAGCGGUGAAAUGCGUAGAG
rnacentral:rRNA from 1 species